rnacentral:misc_RNA from 1 species
UCCGGUUUGAAACCGGCAGUCGCGUUAGACAUGGUAACUAACGCCGAGGGUUGCGCUCGUUGCGGGACUUAACCCAACACCUCACGGCACGAGCUGACGACAGCCAUGCAGCAUCUGUGCACGCUCCCUUGCGGGUCCUCGACCUUUCGGCCUCGUACCACGUGCAUGUCAAGCCCAGGUAAGGUUCUUCGCGUUGCGUCGAAUUAAACCACACGCUCCGCUGCUUGUGCAGGCCCCCGUCAAUUUCUUUGAGUUUUAACCUUGCGGCCGUACUCCCCAGGCGGAUAACUUAAUGCGUUAGCUGCGCCACCAAAACCCUAAGGGCCCUGACAGCUAGUUAUCAUCGUUUACGGCGUGGACUAC